rnacentral:tRNA from 1 species
GGCCCCAUCGUCUAGAGGUUCAGGACACCACCCUCUCAAGGUGGAGACACGGGUUCGAUUCCCGUUGGGGCUACCA